UACGAAGGGGGCAAGCGUUGUUCGGAAUUACUGGGCGUAAAGGGCGCGUAGGCGGCUUAUCAAGUCAGGCGUGAAAUUCCCGGGCUCAACCUGGGGGCUGCGCUUGAUACUGAUUGGCUUGAAUGCGGGAGAGGAUAGUGGAAUUCCCAGUGUAGAGGUGAAAUUCGUAGAUAUCGGGAGGAACACCGGUGGCGAAGGCGGCGACCUGGGUAGAUACUGACGCUGAGGUGCGAAAGCGUGGGGAGCAAACAGG
rnacentral:rRNA from 1 species